rfam:Arabidopsis lyrata subsp. lyrata unplaced genomic scaffold ARALYscaffold_7, whole genome shotgun sequence.
GUGCCCUGUGAUGACUGAUAAAAUAUUUAUGGUUAAAAGUAGUGUCUGAUAUCUUAUUGAUGAAUAUUUCAAAUCUGAGGGCUU